rnacentral:rRNA from 1 species
AGCAGCCGCGGUAAUUCCAGCUCCAAUAGCGUAUAUUAAAGUUGUUGCAGUUAAAAAGCUCGUAGUUGAAUUUCGGGAUCAAUACGUCGGUCGUGCUUUCGGGUACGUACUGGCGUCAUUGGUUUCUCCUUUCUGACGAACCAUGAUGUCAUUAAUUUGGUGUUAUGGGGAGUUAGGACUGUUACUUUGAAAAAAUUAGAGUGUUUAAAGCAGGCAUUUUUGCUUGAAUACAUUAGCAUGGAAUAAUGAAAUAGGACGGCAUGAUUCUAUUUUGUUGGUUUCUAGGAUCACCGUAAUGAUUAAUAGGGAUAGUUGGGGGCAUUAGUAUUCAAUUGUCAGAGGUGAAAUUCUUGGAUUUAUUGAAGACUAACUACUGCGAAAGCAUUUGCCAAGGAUGUUUUCAUUAAUCAAGAACGAAAGUUAGGGGAUCGAAGACGAUCAGAUACCGUCGUAGUCUUAACCAUAAACUAUGCCGACUAGGAAUCAGACGAUGUUAAUUUUUUAAUGACUCGUUUGGCACCUUACG